UGGCGGACGGGUGAGUAACGCGUGGGUAACCUGCCUCAUACAGGGGGAUAACAGUUAGAAAUGACUGCUAAUACCGCAUAAGACCACAGCACCGCAUGGUGCAGGGGUAAAAACUCCGGUGGUAUGAGAUGGACCCGCGUCUGAUUAGGUAGUUGGUGGGGUAACGGCCUACCAAGCCGACGAUCAGUAGCCGGCCUGAGAGGGUGACCGGCCACAUUGGGACUGAGACACGGCCCAA
rnacentral:rRNA from 1 species